AUGCUGAAUAAGACCGAAAAUUUAGCAUGCAAGGGAGCAGCACCUCUGAUGGGAUCAUUCCGAAUUCUGGCAACAUUUCCAGAGUUUAAGAUCACUUCCCUACCUGCCAAAUAUUUUUUUCUUUACUUUCAUAAUAGCUUUCCAGACGGGGGAAUCCUCAAAUUUACUUUUCACAGAGGGGACCGUAUCAUUUCUGAAAUACUUAGCACGAAUUACCUCCUGCCAAAGGCCUUGCUGGGUUUCCAGUUUCCACCACCACUUGGUGAGGAGACUGAUAUUCUGUCUAUGCAGAUCUUUAACUCCUAA
rnacentral:rRNA from 1 species